UUUAUUUGAUUUCCUUCGGGACUGAUUAUUUUGUGACUGAGUGGCGGACGGGUGAGUAACGCGUGGGUAACCUGCCUUGUACAGGGGGAUAACAGUUGGAAACGGCUGCUAAUACCGCAUGAUGUGUUUUGGGGGCAUCCCCGGAACACCAAAGAUUUAUUGCUGAAAGAUGGCCUCGCGUCUGAUUAGAUAGUUGGUGGGGUAACGGCCCACCAUGGCGACGAUCAGUAGCCGGACUGAGAGGUUGACCGGCCACAUUGGGACUGAGAUACGGCCCAGACUCC
rnacentral:rRNA from 1 species